UACGUAGGGUGCAAGCGUUGUCCGGAAUUAUUGGGCGUAAAGAGCUCGUAGGCGGCUUGUCGCGUCUGCUGUGAAAUCCCGGGGCUCAACUCCGGGUCUGCAGUGGGUACGGGCAGGCUAGAGUGCGGUAGGGGAGAUUGGAACUCCUGGUGUAGCGGUGGAAUGCGCAGAUAUCAGGAAGAACACCGAUGGCGAAGGCAGAUCUCUGGGCCGCUACUGACGCUGAGGAGCGAAAGCAUGGGGAGCGAACAGG
rnacentral:rRNA from 1 species